GGGACUGGGGGCCUGAGGCCACGCCCUCUGUGUUGAGUUUAGUUCCGCCCUAGUUAGGCCUCUUGCAGGCAGCCCGCGGAGCUGCACUGAGACUCUUGGAGAGCAUUUCCAAGUGAUAGAAGGCACUGUGCGCAAGUGGCCCUUCCCCUUUCCCUCUCCCUGCCCCGGGAUUUCAGAAGAAACCCGUAGGCAGAAAUUGGCCAGAGCUAGGCAAAAGUUGUGAGAGUUUCAAGAAAGAAACACUCUUUUGGGUCCUUCUCUGGAUGAGAAGAAGAAAAGCAUAAAUCCCGGGAUAUCCACUGGUGGCAAAUGUCACCCACCUGACGAGGUGAGUCAGAGCUGGCCAGGCUGCUGCGGCUGUGGCUCUCAUGGCAGUGGGGGGUCAGGGUUCACAUGAGCACAAUGUCAGGUGCAGGAUAAGAAAUCUGCAUUCGAGGGCCAGGUCUGUGACAGCUCAGCGGUCGGGUGUGUGACAAGCUUAUGACAAGUCCUGGGUCUGACCAACAGCAGUGCAAUUAAAUAUGUGGGGAGGAUUUUAUGUACAAUUUUGAUGUUUAAAUGACACAUUUUUAUGUGAAUGCCCUCGGGCCUGGUGCAGAGCAAGCACUCAGUAAAUGGUAGCUGGAGUUUGAUUUUGCUCAGCCUCAAGGGCAGCCAGGCCAGUGAGAAGAGCCACUUAUGCUCAGGAUCUCUGCCAGAGCCCAGGGUGUGAGGUCUGGGAGGAGGCAGGGUGUGCAGGGAGCUUGGCUCAGGCCACCCUGGGUGGGGGAGUCUUAGUGGAAGAGGAAUCAGCACCUCCUGUGUUUCUCUCUGAGCAGAGCCAGGAUGCCACCAGUGGCCCCAAGGUCCUGGCUCAGAACAACCCUAGGACGUACUUCUCCGAUGACAUCCAGAGGGUCCUGAAUGAGGGCAGCGGACAAAGGUGAAAGCAGAGAAGGAGGAGCAGGACAGGAAGGUCAAGGAGCUAGAGAAGAGCCUGAUGGACCUGAAGGCAGACAUGGGUGAGUGAGCACAAGGCUGACCUGGGAGUUGGACCCGGUCUCUGGGCUGUGGCUGUGGCUGUGGCCUGCACUUUCCUAAGGAGCGACGUACACUCAAGGGAUGGGGCAGAGAGAAAGGGCUCUGUGACGGGAGCUGGCAA
rnacentral:lncRNA from 1 species